CAAAAAGGAGCAGGAGAGAGCCGCCCCGCUACAUGGAAGGAUGGAACGGCUCAAGGACAAAAAUACUUCCUCCUUUCCGUCCUAAAACGCAGGAAAGUUUCAAACCUCGGCAUGACAAUUUGGACUCCCGGAACUGGUGGGUUCACUGCUGAGAGCUUUGAGAUCCCACUCGGGGUUGCAUCAAUCUGCUCUUGUUUCUUGUUAAAAUCUUCCAAGCUAGGCGACAGCGGCGAGGGAAUCUGACGUUUGACAAGCGAACAGUAUGGGCUCGGUAUUUGACUUGAUGCCUGUCCAGUGGGGUGCAGCUACACAGAGAAAGCACGCACGGCUGGAUUUUAGAGCCGGCCUAUUAAAACUGAAUCUGUCUGGUUACUGAGUAUAUAUUGAUUAUCUCAAUGCUGCUGAUUAAAGGACGGAUAAUCUGAUCUUUCGAAAAAAGGAUGGAUAAUCGAUUACUUCCUGUUAUUUCUUAUUCAAACCAUGCAUUACGUGUGUUCAGAAACGAAGAUGAUAUUGCUGGUUCGAUCUGCACCGCACAGCGGCAGAACGAAUCCAGGCCUUUUUGGCCGCAAACUUAUGCUGAUUUUAUUUGUCUUGGUGCUGCAGAAUAUAUGGAGACUUAUGGCGCCCUGACGCAUUCCUUGGCCCGCCAGUGGGCGCAAAACCAACAUUGCGUGGCCAGAAACGAAAUACGAAGAUGAUUUAGCUCUUGGCAAGAGGACAACCUCCCGUUCAGGGCCAAGGGUGCCGACAAAGCAUCUACAGAAAUCGCAUGCAAAGUUGACAGAAAAUGACCUCCGGGAACGCGCAGAUUAACCUCAUUUUGCCAUUGCCCAAUGCGUGACCAAACCUGCACCGCGAACAGUCUUGACCACUUGAUCUAUCGCAUAAUUCAGCGUCCGCUAAUGUAACGCCAGGUCUCUCACAGAGAGAAGACGUGUGUUUCUGUUAGCUGACUGGAAACAUCUCAUCCACGCAGUCAUAUCAUAGGAUUCUCGAAGUGAU